rnacentral:rRNA from 1 species
GAUGAACGCUGGCGGCGUGCCUAAUACAUGCAAGUCGAGCGAACAGACGAGGAGCUUGCUCCUCUGACGUUAGCGGCGGACGGGUGAGUAACACGUGUAUAACCUACCUAUAAGACUGGGAUAACUUCGGGAAACCGGAGCUAAUACCGGAUAAUAUAUUGAACCGCAUGGUUCAAUAGUGAAAGACGGUUUUGCUGUCACUUAUAGAUGGAUCCGCGCCGCAUUAGCUAGUUGGUACGGUAACGGCUUACCAAGGCGACGAUGCGUAGCCGACCUGAGAGGGUGAUCGGCCACCCUGGAACUGAGACACGGUCCAGACUCCUACGGGAGGCAGCAGUAGGGAAUCUUCCGCAAUGGGCGAAAGCCUGACGGAGCAACGCCGCGUGAGUGAUGAAGGUCUUCGGAUCGUAAAACUCUGUUAUUAGGGAAGAACAAAUGUGUAAGUAACUAUGCACGUAUUGACGGUACCUAAUCAGAAAGCCACGGCUAACUACGUG